AUGCACAAAUUUGUGGUAUUUCUGAUUUUAUUAGGCUUGGAUCUGCACCUGGGGUGGCAUGGAUUUCAAAGUCAUUAUUUAAGGUGUACUGUCUGUAGGGUGGAGGUGGACCAAAGACCUGCUUCACCGGAUACUGGCUUCAAAUCACCUUUCAUAUUUUCUUGUUGGGAAGACAACUGUUGGAGAGUCUUCUUGUUAUCAUCAGCAAAAAAUGGAAACAGAUCAAGACAUUAAAAAUGCCACCGUGGCCAGCAGUUAAUGAUGCCCGAGUAAUGCAAGCUUUGGCAAAGGAAUUUUUCAAGACGUGUGCUUCACCAGCCAGGAAUCAGGAAAGACUGAACUAUCCUUUUUGUCUCAGCUGUUUCUUAAAUCAAUGCAACCCCUCCAAAUUAAAGUGAAUUGAAACAGUCAUUGCCUUUUCAACUUAACUGAGUGCUUACUAUGUGUGAAUCACUGUGCAGAAUAGGGAGGGAAAAUGAGGGAGGCAAAUAAGAUGUGGUCCCGACCUUGAAUGUAUUUACAAUUAGUUUCAAGAGACAGUUUUUUUUUGGGGGGGGAGGGUUUCUGCUUCUAAGUGUGUCCCUAAAAUAGGAAACAGUACUGGAGUGGGUAGCCUUUCCCUUCUCCAGGGGAUCUUCCCAACCCAGGAAUCAAACCCAGGUCUCCCACAUUGCAGGCGGAUUCUUUACCAGCUGAGCCACAAGGAAGCCCUAAAUUUCUUUAAUACAAAACAAAACUCUUAAUGUGGGUAACUCAGGGCAUCUUAAUUCCAUUUUUUUGGUCUUCUGAUAGUUCCCAAUUUAUUGAUUUAAUAUACAUUCAGUAGGCUUUAGAAGUAUUAAUACAUUAUAGUUGGAGUAAAUUUGAAUAAAUCCCUUCCCCCUCCUUAGGUGUAGACUGUA
rnacentral:lncRNA from 1 species